rnacentral:rRNA from 1 species
UGGGGAAUUUUGGACAAUGGGGGCAACCCUGAUCCAGCCAUGCCGCGUGAGUGAAGAAGGCCUUCGGGUUGUAAAGCUCUUUCGGACGGGACGAAAUGGUUAUGGUGAAUAUCCGUGACUGAUGACGGUACCGUAAUAAGAAGCACCGGCUAACUACGUGCCAGCAGCCGCGGUAAUACGUAGGGUGCGAGCGUUAAUCGGAAUUACUGGGCGUAAAGCGUGCGCAGGCGGUUCGCCAAGUCAGGUGUGAAAUCCCCGGGCUUAACCUGGGAAUUGCGCUUGAAACUAGCGAGCUUGAGUGUGGCAGAGGGGGGUGGAAUUCCACGUGUAGCAGUGAAAUGCGUAGAGAUGUGGAGGAACACCGAUGGCGAAGGCAGCCCCCUGGGUCAACACUGACGCUCAUGCACGAAAGCGUGGGGAGCAAACAGGAUUAGAUACCCUGGUAGUCCACGCCCUAAACGAUGUCGACUAGGUGUUGGGGGAGGAGACUCCCUUAGUACCGCAGCUAACGCGUGAAGUCGACCGCCUGGGGAGUACGGUCGCAAGAUUAAAACUCAAAGGAAUUGACGG